GCUAGUAUGGUCUAGUGGUUUGAGCACUAAACUAUGAAUCUGGAGAUCAUGGUUGGAUCCCUGCUUGGCA